AGCGAACGCUGGCGGCAGGCUUAACACAUGCAAGUCGAGCGGGCAUCCUCGUGGUGUCAGCGGCAGACGGGUGAGUAACGCGUGGGAACGUGCCCUUCGGUUCGGAAUAACUCAGGGAAACUUGAGCUAAUACCGGAUACGUGCGAGAGCAGAAAGGUUUAUCUGCCGAAGGAUCGGCCCGCGUCUGAUUAGCUAGUUGGUGAGGUUAUGGCUCACCAAGGCGACGAUCAGUAGCUGGUCUGAGAGGAUGAUCAGCCACACUGGGACUGAGACACGGCCCAGACUCCUACGGGAGGCAGCAGUGGGGAAUAUUGGACAAUGGGGGCAACCCUGAUCCAGCCAUGCCGCGUGAGUGAUGACGGCCUUAGGGUUGUAAAGCUCUUUUCUCCGGGACGAUAAUGACGGUACCGGAGGAAUAAGCCCCGGCUAACUUCGUG
rnacentral:rRNA from 1 species